UACGUAGGGGGCAAGCGUUGUCCGGAAUUAUUGGGCGUAAAGAGCGUGUAGGCGGCCAGAUAAGUCCGCUGUGAAAUCUCGAGGCUCAACUUCGAGCUGUCGGUGGAAACUAUCUGGCUAGAGUCCGGAAGAGGAGAAUGGAAUUCCAGGUGUAGCGGUGAAAUGCGUAGAUAUCUGGAGGAACACCGGUGGCGAAGGCGGCAUCCUGGACCAACACUGACACUGAAAAGCGAAAGCCAGGGGAGCAAAACGGG
rnacentral:rRNA from 1 species